UACGUAGGGUGCGAGCGUUGUCCGGAAUUACUGGGCGUAAAGAGCUCGUAGGUGGUUUGUCGCGUUGUUCGUGAAAACUCACAACUCAAUUGUGGGCGUGCGGGCGAUACGGGCAGACUGGAGUACUGCAGGGGAGACUGGAAUUCCUGGUGUAGCGGUGGAAUGCGCAGAUAUCAGGAAGAACACCAAUGGCGAAGGCAGCUCUCUGGGACGGUACUGACGCUGAGACGCGAAAGCGUGGGGAGCGAACAGG
rnacentral:rRNA from 1 species